rnacentral:ribozyme from 12 species
ACACAAACAAAAUUAAAAAUCCAAACAAUGUAAAACUGAAAUGCAGUGGAUCAAUCCCAAAAGGUCCUGUUGGACGACUGCUUGUCAGCGAUGUUGCGUCGUCGUCCAUUUCUUUUAUACUGGUACUUUUUUAUUCUUUUCCUUCUUUUCCUUCUUCU